GGGGGAUAAAUUAAUAAAGUAUAAAUAAUAAAAAAAUUUUUAAUAUUAAAAUUAUUUUAAUGGGGGUUAAAGUAUAUUUAAUAGAAAAAAUAAUAAAAAUUUAUAGUAAAUUAGUAUUGUAAAAGAAAUUUGAAAUAUAUUGAAAAUAAAUUUAUUUGAAAGUAAAUUUAAUUUAUUGUAUCUUGUGUAUCAGAGUUUAUUAAUAAUAAUUUUUUUUUAAAAAUUUUCUCGAAUUUAAAAGAGAUAAUUAAUUAUUAAAGUUAAUGUUGCAUAAUUUUUUUUAAUAAUUAAUUUGAAAUGAAAUGUUAAUCGUUUUUAAAUAUAUCUAGUUUUUUUAGAAAAAAAUUUAAUUUUAAAUUUUAAAAAAUAUAAUUUUAAUUAAUUAAAAUUAUAUUUUUAAAAUUAAAUAUUUUAGGGGAUAAGCUUUAAGGUAAAUUUUUAUAAUAAAUUUUAAUAAUAAUUAAAAUUUUUAAAAUUUAUAUUGUUUAUAAAUUAUAAUUUUUUAUAAAUAAUUUUAAUUUAAUUAAAAUUUAAAAUUUAUUUAAUUUUUUUUUAUAAAAAAAUAUAUUAUAAUUAUUUAAAUUUAGAUAUAAUGAUAAAAUUAGUAUAUAAUUUAAAAUAAAAAUAAUUUAUUUUUUGAUAAAUUAAAAAAAGGAAUUCGGCAAAAAUUUAUAUUCACUUGUUUAUCAAAAACAUGUCUUUUUGAUUAAUAAUUUAAAGUCUAAUCUGCCCACUGAUAAUAUAUUAAAGGGCUGCAGUAUUUUGACUGUACAAAGGUAGCAUAAUCAUUAGUCUCUUAAUUGGUGACUUGUAUGAAAGAUUUAAUGAGAUAUAUACUGUCUCUUUUUAAUUUGUAAAAUUUAAUUUUUUAGUAAAAAAGCUAAAAUAUAUUUAAAAGACGAGAAGACCCUAUAGAGUUUUAUAUUUAAUUAAAAUAAAAUUUUUUAUAAGAUUUAAAAUUUUAUUUUAAUUAAAUAUUUUGUUGGGGUGACAAAAAAAUUAAAAGAACUUUUUUUAUAAAUUUUACAUUAAUAAAUGAAUAAAUGAUCCGUAAUUUACGAUUAAAAGAAAAAAUUACCUUAGGGAUAACAGCGUAAUUUUUUUUUUUAGUUCAAAUAAGAAGAAAAGUUUGCGACCUCGAUGUUGGAUUAAGAUAAAAUUUAAAUGCAAAAGUUUAAAAUUUUUGAUCUGUUCGAUCAUUAAAAUCUUACAUGAUCUGAGUUCAAACCGGUGUAAGCCAGGUUGGUUUCUAUCUUUAAAUUAAUAAAAUAUUUUAGUACGAAAGGAAUAAAUAUUUAAAAUAAUUUUAAAUAAAAAGAAUUUUAAUAAUAGUAUUUAAUAUAAUAUAUUUAUAAUAUAUAUGUAUAUAUAAAUA
rnacentral:rRNA from 1 species